UACGGGGGGAGCAAGCGUUGUUCGGAUUUACUGGGCGUAAAGGGCGCGUAGGCGGCCACCGCAAGUCAGUCGUGAAAUCUCUGGGCUUAACCCAGAAAGGUCAACUGAUACUGCGGGGCUAGAGUGCAGAAGGGGCAACUGGAAUUCUCGGUGUAGCGGUGAAAUGCGUAGAUAUCGAGAGGAACACCUGCGGCGAAGGCGGGUUGCUGGGCCGUAACUGACGCUGAGGAGCGAAAGCGUGGGGAGCGAACAGG
rnacentral:rRNA from 1 species